CGUUCCCGGGUCUUGUACACACCGCCCGUCACACCACGAAAGCCCGCUGCAACAGAAGUGUACUCUCUGAGGAUACGAAGUUGUGGUUGGUGAUUGGGGUG
rnacentral:rRNA from 1 species